UCCCUCGUAGUUCAGUCGGUAGAACGGCGGACUGCUAAUCCGUAUGUCACAGGUUCAAGUCCUGUCGAGGGAGCCA
rnacentral:tRNA from 1 species